GGAGUGGAUAGCCGGUCCCUUCUCCAGGGGAUCUUCCUGACCCAGGGAUCCAACACAGAUCUCCCGCUUUGCAGGUGGACUCACUGCAGUCUGAGCCAUGUGAGUUGGGUUAUCCGUAAUUAAAGGCUGAUGCAACUGAAGGCACAGAAAGGAACUACAAUGUCAGCGCUGUCACAGAUCACCAUUGGAUGAAUGUGUGGUCUGUGUUCUGAGCUAUUUGAUAAUCCCUGUGCCAACACCACACUGAAAUAUAAAGCCUGAAAAUAUCCAGCGUUUUAUCCAGUAUGAAGAAGUAGACAUUCUCAUACACUGGGUUGUAAUAGAAAAAAGGAGAUCCAAC